GAGCUGACCCACAUUUUCUCCAAUAAAGUCUGAACGCCUUCUAAAUUUGUCCUUGACUACUCUCCAUCAGCCCUAAGAUACCAUACAGAGUUUCUUUACAUCAUAUCAUUCCUUCUUUUUUUCUGAAAAACAAACAAACGAAAGUUUAUUGAUGACGUUAAAGAAAAACGCUGCGGGCGGGUGGCUGGAGCCAGGGUUACGUGGGCUGCUGGUCCUGGUCUCAACGGUGCGUCUCUGAGAUCAGUUAUCACAGCUUGGCCACGUGGCGCAUGUGCGUCCUGAUGACGCUCUCGUAGUCCCUCACCGACAGCACUGAGCCCUUUGACAGUGCUGAGUGGCUGGGGCCCACGGUCCUCCGGGGCUGUCCCUCCAACCAGGAAAUCUUCAGAGGGUUAUCCACCAGGCCAACUCCAUUCUGGACCGCCAGCUUCGCAGUCUUGACAGUCGCAAACUCCACCACAGCAGUGCCUGCCUUCUUCCUGGAAAGCACCAUAUACUCCACUUUGAAACCCAGUCACUAUACUUUGAGAAAGUUAAGAAGUGACGAUGUUAGUUGACCUCACCUGACAGCAUGCCUCGACUACUCAAUAUGAGUGAUAAAACCUUCACAUGAAUCUCAUUUUCAACCUUCAUGCCACCCCAGUUCGUGCCAAGCAGAGAAGUCCCCACCAAUACCUACUCCAAUUAAAGAUUGGUAAGCAAGAAUAAAUAUUGCCAUUGUUUUGCUCUACUAAGUAUUGAGGUGAUUUGUUAGAGAAAUGAUAAUCAGAAAGAGGGAAAUCUCAUUGACUAUCUAGAUAGCUUUUAGAUGAUGAUAAUAAAAUUGUGAAAGAUUUACAAUAUGUUUAUCAUUUGGAACAUAUCCCCUUUAUCAAUCAAUUAUUUUUUUCCAGAAAAUUGAUGGGGACUAUAAAAUC
rnacentral:lncRNA from 1 species